rnacentral:rRNA from 1 species
AGUGAAGAGGAAAGAGCUCAAAGUUGGAAACUGUUUGGCUUAGCUAAACCGUAUUGUAAACUGUAGAAACAUUUUCCUGGCACACCAGAUUAAUAAGUCCUUUGGAACAAGGCAUCAUGGAGGGUGAGAAUCCCGUCUUUGAUCUGAGUAGUUGUCUUUUGUGAUAUGUUUUCAAAGAGUCAGGUUGUUUGGGAAUGCAGCCUAAAUUGGGUGGUAAAUCUCACCUAAAGCUAAAUAUUUGCGAGAGACCGAUAGCGAACAAGUACCGUGAGGGAAAGAUGAAAAGAACUUUGAAAAGAGAGUUAAACAGUAUGUGAAAUUGUUAAAAGGGAACCGUUUGGAGCCAGACUGGUUUGACUGUAAUCAACCUAGAAUUCGUUUUGGGUGCACUUGCAGUCUAUACCUGCCAACAACAGUUUGAUUUGGAGGAAAAAAUUAGUAGGAAUGUGGCCUUUCGAGGUGUUAUAGCCUACUAUCAUACUCUGGAUUGGACUGAGGAACGCAGCGAAUGCCAUUAGGCGAGAUUGCUGGGUGCUUUCGCUAAUAAAUGUUAGAAUUUCUGCUUCGGGUGGUGCUAAUGUUUAAAGGAGGAACACAUCUAGUAUAUUUUUUAUUCGCUUAGGUUGUUGGCUUAAUGACUCUAAAUGACCCGUCUUGAAACACGGACCAAGGAGUCCACCAUAAGUGCAAGUAUUUGAGUGACAAACUCAUAUGCGUAAGGAAACUGAUUGAUACGAAGUCUUACGAUGGCAGUAUCACCCGGCGUUGACGUUUUAUACUGAACUGACCGAGGUAAAGCACUUAUGAUGGGACCCGAAAGAUGGUGAACUAUGCCUGAAUAGGGUGAAGCCAGAGGAAACUCUGGUGGAGGCUCGUAGCGAUUCUGACGUGCAAAUCGAUCGUCAAAUUUGGGUAUAGGGGCGAAAGACUAAUCGAACCAUCUAGUAGCUGGUUCCUGCCGAU